AUCUACUAAUAAACUAUGGCUCGAUCUCAGUCUCCGGUAAACGAAAAGAGUUUCUAAAGGAGGCAAUUCAUGGUGCUCCAUCGUGCGACGUCGUUCAAAGGCCAGGAUCCGUGGCGAGCUCCGAAAAGUCGUCCCAGGAGGGGAAGCUUUCGUGGGCGACGAAGAGCGCUGGACCAGUGGCGCUGCUGGCGGUGGUGGUUUCUUGCCUCUGGUUCGGUGUCCCGCCGAAGUUCGUGCUACCAAAUACUGGUUGACCAAACGCGUCUAGCUGUUGGCCCUCGUAGAUGCUGUGAUCGGUCGUCGUGUAGGGCGACGGAUGCGUCUGUGGCUGUCUCUGAGGGUCUGUAACCGUCAGCUCGAUGUUUCCGGCGGUCACGUUCUCUUCUUGCGUCUCGGCCGCGCUCGCCUCCUCCAGGCUACUGUGUUUAAUGCCGUAAUAGAAGUACAUGAUGAAACCUGCGGUAAGAACGAUUUGGGUUAGGUCUCGUGGCGCACUUGUGGGCUAACGUAGAAGCCAAGAUAUAAAUCCGGUGAUUGAAUUUACCGAGUACCAUCCAGACAGUGAAUCUAACGAGGGUCAAGAUGCUCAGCUUGAAGAUGAGAUGCUCGAGUGCAGAGACGGUGAUGACGUUGGAGGAUAUUUUUUCAAGGGUACUUACACCACUCCAGCCGUAAGGAAGGAAGCCGUUGUGUUCGCGCCAGUUGGCGCUGUCCACGUAGAACAUACCCGCCGUCAUCACGAACACCCAGACGGCGAGAUUGAUGGCGUUUAACACGUUAUUGAACACCAGGGAUUUCUUCACGCCUGCGGCCAUCAGCAGCAUCAUCAGUAAGGUACAAAACUUCGUUCCAAGAGACGCCGUUACUCGAUCGAAAUGGAACAAUUGACUAGGGAGAGUAAAAACGUUCAUCUUCAAAGGAACCUCUUUCAGGUCCGUCGUUUCGCAUUCACCAGGGAAAAGAGUGUUCUCUGAACUCGUUACCAACGCAUUUCCACUGUUCCAUUCUAAGAAACAGUAACUUGGACAGUGGAAAGCUUCUCCGAGGUAUAUAGGAAUGGAAGUCUAAAUGAAAUUCAACCUUUAAUUCUGUAGCUGACACCUUGAGCGACAAUUUAUACCCUUUUAGCUAAUUAUCAGACUCUUUUUUCAAAAGAAUACCUCGAAGAGGAGAUACAGAGAAGAAAUUCAACCUGUGGGCCUUCAAGAGUAAAAAAUAAACAAAUAGCAAGUUCAACGUUUGAACCAUUGAGAAAAUGUCUAAAUACAAAACAGACGGUUCGUUGAAACAUUUACCCAACAAUCAAAGUAUUGUUACCCAGCUAUCAGAGAGCUCGUUUGAAAUGAAAGAAAGAAACAAAUGGAACAAUCAAAGAGUGGUCGUUCGAUAAAAGGAAACGUUGAAUCGCCGGAAGGUAUAAUAAAAAGAAGAUCAGAGAGUUGGAGUUCACGUGGGCAGGUUAAAAAGCAUCGAAGUGUGCGGCUUCGCAAACCGUUUCGGAUCGAUGAGGUCCACAGGUGCUAGACUUGAUCCGCGCAAGCGCCCUUCUCGCACCCUCUUCAGCCUUUUGUUAUCCCCAGA